rnacentral:rRNA from 1 species
GACGAACGCUGGCGGCGUGCCUAAUACAUGCAAGUAGAACGCUGAAGAGAGGAGCUUGCUCUUCUUGGAUGAGUUGCGAACGGGUGAGUAACGCGUAGGUAACCUGCCUUGUAGCGGGGGAUAACUAUUGGAAACGAUAGCUAAUACCGCAUAACAAUGGAUGACACAUGUCAUUUAUUUGAAAGGGGCAAUUGUUCCACUACAAGAUGGACCUGCGUUGUAUUAGCUAGUAGGUGAGGUAAUGGCUCACCUAGGCGACGAUACAUAGCCGACCUGAGAGGGUGAUCGGCCACACUGGGACUGAGACACGGCCCAGACUCCUACGGGAGGCAGCAGUAGGGAAUCUUCGGCAAUGGGGGCAACCCUGACCGAGNCACGCCGCGUGAGUGAAGAAGGUUUUCGGAUCGUAAAGCUCUGUUGUAAGUCAAGAACGGGUGUGAGAGUGGAAAGUUCACACUGUGACGGUAGCUUACCAGAAAGGGACGGCUAACUACGUGCCAGCAGCCGCGGUAAUACGUAGGUCCCGAGCGUUGUCCGGAUUUAUUGGGCGUAAAGCGAGCGCAGCGGUUUGAUAAGUCUGAAGUUAAGGCUGUGGCUCAACCAUAGUUCGCUUUGGAAACUGUCAAACUUGAGUGCAGAAGGGGAGAGUGGAAUUCCAUGUGUAGCGGUGAAAUGCGUAGAUAUAUGGAGGAACACCGGUGGCGAAAGCGGCUCUCUGGUCUGUAACUGACGCUGAGGCUCGAAAGCGUGGGGAGCGAACAGGAUUAGAUACCCUGGUAGUCCACGCCGUAAACGAUGAGUGCUAGGUGUUGGAUCCUUUCCGGGAUUCAGUGCCGCAGCUAACGCAUUAAGCACUCCGCCUGGGGAGUACGACCGCAAGGUUGAAACUCAAAGGAAUUGACGGGGGCCCGCACAAGCGGUGGAGCAUGUGGUUUAAUUCGAAGCAACGCGAAGAACCUUACCAGGUCUUGACAUCCCGAUGCUAUUUCUAGAGAUAGAAAGUUACUUCGGUACAUCGGUGACAGGUGGUGCAUGGUUGUCGUCAGCUCGUGUCGUGAGAUGUUGGGUUAAGUCCCGCAACGAGCGCAACCCCUAUUGUUAGUUGCCAUCAUUCAGUUGGGCACUCUAGCGAGACUGCCGGUAAUAAACCGGAGGAAGGUGGGGAUGACGUCAAAUCAUCAUGCCCCUUAUGACCUGGGCUACACACGUGCUACAAUGGUUGGUACAACGAGUUGCGAGUCGGUGACGGCGAGCUAAUCUCUUAAAGCCAAUCUCAGUUCGGAUUGUAGGCUGCAACUCGCCUACAUGAAGUCGGAAUCGCUAGUAAUCGCGGAUCAGCACGCCGCGGUGAAUACGUUCCCGGGCCU